UGCAAGUCGAGCGGAUGAGAGGAGCUUGCUCCUCGAUUCAGCGGCGGACGGGUGAGUAAUGCCUAGGAAUCUGCCUAGUAGUGGGGGACAACGUUUCGAAAGGAACGCUAAUACCGCAUACGUCCUACGGGAGAAAGUGGGGGAUCUUCGGACCUCACGCUAUUAGAUGAGCCUAGGUCGGAUUAGCUAGUUGGUAGGGUAAAGGCCUACCAAGGCGACGAUCCGUAACUGGUCUGAGAGGAUGAUCAGUCACACUGGAACUGAGACACGGUCCAGACUCCUACGGGAGGCAGCAGUGGGGAAUAUUGGACAAUGGGCGAAAGCCUGAUCCAGCCAUGCCGCGUGUGUGAAGAAGGCCUUCGGGUCGUAAAGCACUUUAAGUUGGGAGGAAGGGCUCAUAGCGAAUACCUGUGAGUUUUGACGUUACCAACAGAAUAAGCACCGGCUAACUUCGUGCCAGCAGCCGCGGUAAUACGAAGGGUGCAAGCGUUAAUCGGAAUUACUGGGCGUAAAGCGCGCGUAGGUGGCUUGAUAAGUUGGAUGUGAAAUCCCCGGGCUCAACCUGGGAACUGCAUCCAAAACUGUCUGGCUAGAGUGCGGUAGAGGGUAGUGGAAUUUCCAGUGUAGCGGUGAAAUGCGUAGAUAUUGGAAGGAACACCAGUGGCGAAGGCGACUACCUGGACUGACACUGACACUGAGGUGCGAAAGCGUGGGGAGCAAACAGGAUUAGAUACCCUGGUAGUCCACGCCGUAAACGAUGUCAACUAGCCGUUGGGAUCCUUGAGGUCUUAGUGGCGCAGCUAACGCAUUAAGUUGACCGCCUGGGGAGUACGGCCGCAAGGUUAAAACUCAAAUGAAUUGACGGGGGCCCGCACAAGCGGUGG
rnacentral:rRNA from 1 species